UAUUUAUAUCCUUAUUUUAUAAACAUGAAUGAACAUUAAUGAUAUAUAUAUUACAUUUAUACCUUCGACUUAAUAGAAGGUGGAAAAGCAAGAGUGACCCAAGAGUGAUUAGAAUUCAGCGUGAACAGCACGGUGUUAUUGUUCAUCUAUUUAUAGGCACAGGACGUAGCCUGCACAAAAUUACAUUCAUGUCCCCGACAUUUACUGUUGACCAUAAGGCAAGCCGUCGAGGACUAAGCAGUCUUUUCUUCUUUAGGUCGGUUUCAUCUUUCACCAUCGUCCUCGUGCUAAGCCGAAGCUUCUUCAGCCACAACUUUGGAGCUAAUUUAUCCUUCCUCCAGACUGCACCUUCAUACCAUGCACACCUUAUUCUCAAAGCUGAAGCCUCCUGUGACAGUAUGUUAUAAUAAAAAACGUGUUAGUUAAGUUUUUUAGGACCUUCGAAAGAGGAAGGCCCCCAACAUAUACCAUUUAUAUGCACUUUAUUUUAUUUUAACUUUUAAUCAAUAUAUCUAAUUUUAAAACCAAUUUCACAUUUAUGUUCUUAAUAUUUUUACUAAUAAAAUUAGACUCCAGUUGCUAUAUAACUAUUUAUUUAAAAAUAUAUUUUUAUUUCACUUUUUCUAAUAGUUAAUUAUUUAUAAUCCCAUUCGAUUCUAUUAUUAACGUAUCACUUUAUUAAUAUAUCUCUACUAUAUUAAAACAAAAACAAAAAAACUCGGCCGGGGAGGGAAAGACCGCCCUCCCGGUAUUAUAUUAAGAAGAGACCGAAAUAAUGGUCCCGGCCGAGAAAAUCCCCGAACCCUGGCCCCCCAUCACUAACGGGUCGGCGUCAACUGUCUACUCUGCAACGGCCCAACCGGAGGGUGGCGCACAGGACAUCGUAACCCGAGAGCGGAUGGGGCACAGCGAGGGGAUUUUUUUAACCAAGCCUGAAAAUUCGCUCCCGAGGGGAAUCGAACCCAAGACUUGGAGGUGCUACUCGGAAGUCCUUAACCACUAGGCUAGAGGCCCUUUCGCCUCUACUAUAUUAAAACAACAGUUUCAACGGUGUCCCGCGUCAUCUUUUUUACAAAGAACCCCUUUUAUUUCUUCAAAAUUAACCCACGGCACUAGAUCAUAUCCCAUCCCUAUCCUAUUUGUUCGCGCAAUAGCAUUCUCGCAACUGUCGCUCUCGCAACAACCUUCGUCCGCUUCUUCCGCCGUUGCACCGCCACCGGCAAGGAGGAUUAGUGCUCUCGCCUCCAAAUAAGGAUGCUCACUAGGUGAUAAAAGUUGCAUCAAGUCUAGCCAAAUCUGAACCUCCUAAUCGCCAAAAGGGGUCGAGAGCACGUCUCCUAGCUCACUCGUCUUCCGCUCCGACGCGAGCUCCGCUGCGCUCCUCCCAUCCCAUGGGCGACGUGGCAUUAAUGGUAGAUCUACCUAGCGUGCGCUUCGUCUGGUCACAGUUGUUCUCGUGGGAUCUAUUAUUGAUAGAGACCGCUCUAACUGUCGUGUUUUUUACAGGGGAUGCCACUGAUCAGGACACAAGCUUCUCAAAUAAGCAAACCAAGCUGCUCAAGACGCAGAAGUUCGCGUUCGAGCUUGACCAUCUGGCCAGUUCGUUUUUUCAAUCAUAACCUUUAUUUCUCAAUUUAGAUGUAAUGAGCGUACAAUACUUUAGGGAUAUAUAGUUAUUGUCUGCAAGGGCUUCCUCUCAUCCAGCGAUUUUGUGCUUGGUAGGUGGAUACGUCAAAGGUCAAGUUGGACGUGAUGAAGCCCUAGAUUACCAAGCGGGUCACUGAGCUACUUAGGUUUGACGUAUGUUUCUGAUCCAUACAGAAGUAGUUUCAUUUUUAUUGUUUGAUAUGAUACUCUAAAGACAAAAGCAAGUAUGUAUUUCAGUAAGCAUGUUAAACAUUAGAGGAUAAACUUGUUGUAUUUGGUAUUUCAGGAAUGAUCUUGUUGGCGUACUUGUGCUUUUCUAUGUCUUGCAAAACUUGGAGAAAAUUGUUAAGCCACCAUAAAUGAUUUUGCAUGUGUUACCUAUAGAAUCUCAAUGAUGAUUUUAGUUAGGGCAUCAGAUUUACACCAGCUUCUCGCUCCCAGGUCCUAAGCUAAAAUAUUGGCUAUAAUUUAAUUCGAGCAUAGGGACUCCUUUUCAACUUAUUUUUUGGUCUUUUGGCUAAGAUAAAGUGUAAUAUUUGUUUUACCAGUUCAAUAUCUAGUAUAUGAAUAAUAUGUUUACUUUCACAUUAAAUUCAUUUAUUAUGGAUAUUUUUAUGUGAAGUGUCUAUUAAGACUCUCAAGUAUCGCUUACUUAUCCAAUCAAUAUCAUCAAAUAUAGUUGGGUACCGUCGCAACGUCCAAGUAUUAGACUAGUGUUGAAUUAAUAAAUCAGUUUUAUAAUUCCAUUUUUAAUAAAAAUGUACUUUUAUUUCAGCACUUAAUUAUUAUUUUAUCCCAUUUAGUUUCUAGUGGGUUAGCAGCAAGGUCACCAACGAGUACACAAAAGGGAAACAAAAACGCAACCUUUCUUCUCGACGCAGUUGUGGUCGCGGCAGCAGGCGUCGAGGUCGUGCAGGUGCAGGGCUCCUCGCCGUCGCAGCCGCUCCAUCCCACACCGCAGUACUUACCGUAGCGGAUCCCAACGGCUGCAGCAAAGAAGCGUUAAACCGGGUCAGAUCGCCGUCCCGACGGAAUCGAUGAGGAUGGCUGAAGGGGGUCGCAAUUGAGGGCCGCGCAAGAGCGGCUGCGGCGGGGGCUGGGGCGCCGAGGACGGCGGCGGCGAGGAGCGUCCGCCGCGGCGACAACGCUUCGUAUUCCGCAUCGCAGUUUGUUGACCGGAUUGGCUGGAUGGGCCGAACCAGGUCAAGUGGAGAUGGAGAGAGUCCUGGUGUGGUGCGGGCCGCAAGUGUGAGUGAGACGUCACCAUCGAAUCCCACCACAAAAGCUCCUUUCGUCACACCGGCCAGCACCCAGCUUCUCCUCUCCUCACCCCCACGCCCCACCCCACCAAACAAUGGCGCCGGCGGCGACUUCCACAGCCUCUGCGCCCUCCUCCUUCCACUCCACCGGUAGGCAUAGGGCCAGGGUCGGGGCCCGGCCAUCGCUCGUCUCUCUCCGCGUCAGAGCAGCCAAUCCCAACGUUACCGCCGAUCCCGCACCGGCCUUCCAGUCCGUCACGACCUUCGCGCCAGCCACCGUCGCCAACCUCGGCCCGGGCUUCGACUUCCUCGGAUGCGCCGUCGCCGACGCCUCCCUCUCCCUGGGUGACACCGUCACCGCAACCCUGGACCCGUCACUCCCGCCCGCCACCGUCUCCAUCGCCUCCGUCACAUCCCCGUCCCGCCCCAACCUCGCCGAGCGCCUCUCUAGGGACCCGCUCCGCAACUGCGCGGGCGUCGCCGCCAUCGCCGCGCUCCGCGCCCUCGGCGUCCGCUCCCACGCCGUGUCCAUCCACCUCACCAAGGGCCUGCCGCUCGGCUCGGGGCUCGGCUCCUCCGCGGCCUCCGCCGCCGCCGCCGCCAAGGCCGUCGACGCCCUCUUCGGCUCGCGCCUCGGCCGCGACGACCUCGUCCUCGCGGGACUCGAGUCGGAGAAGGCCGUCAGCGGCUUCCACGCCGACAACAUCGCCCCCGCCAUCCUCGGCGGCUUCGUCCUCGUCCGCAGCUACGACCCCUUUCACCUCGUCCCGCUUUCCUUCCCGCCAGCGCUCCGCCUCCACUUCGUCCUGGUCACCCCCGACUUCGAGGCGCCCACGAGCAAGAUGCGCGCCGCGCUGCCCAGGCAGGUCGACGUCCAGCAGCACGUGCGCAACUCCAGCCAGGCAGCGGCGCUCGUGGCGGCGGUGCUGCAGGGGGACGCGGGCCUCAUCGGCUCCGCGAUGUCGUCCGACGGCAUCGUGGAGCCCACCAGGGCACCCCUCAUACCUGGCAUGGCGGCCGUAAAGGCGGCGGCCCUGCAAGCUGGAGCGCUGGGCUGCACAAUUAGCGGCGCGGGCCCCACAGUGGUGGCCGUCAUCCAAGGGGAGGAAAGGGGGGAGGAGGUUGCCCGCAAGAUGGUGGACGCGUUCUGGAGCGCAGGCAAGCUCAAGGCGACAGCAACCGUCGCGCAGCUCGAUACCCUUGGUGCCAGGGUCAUCGCCACGUCAUCCUUGAACUAGCAAAAGGUUGCUCUCUUUCCAUUACCACCUCAUCUGCAUGCACAUCAGCUGCAAUUUGAGGUUGUUGUUUGAUUUUUCAACCUAUCAAUGGUUUUAAUCAUAAGUUAUUGCUUCUGUUUGAAUCCACAGAUUCGGAAAGUGGUACUGCAAUUGUAUCACCAAACAAGGAAGAAUGAAGGGGAACCCCAUGGAUUUGUAUGUUUUCUCUUCUUUCUUGCAUCUUUAGGUGGUUAAUUGGCUUUGGAAUAAAUGAGAUGGAGGACAUCGCUAGAACAAUUCUGUUCCGUGGGCUGUAAUUUCAAUUUGGGCUGGUUUCUUUAUCAUGCCAUGGAUAAUUAUGAAUAAAUUUGAGGUAGUUUGUUACCUGUCGUCCUCGACCCAUGGGCAAUGAUGAUCAUCAGGCUCUCACCUCCGACGGCAGCGUCUGCUUCACCUUCAAAAUGGAGCACCUCCUAUUGAUGCAUACAUGAGCACUUUAAAAUGGUGUUUGGUUGC
rnacentral:lncRNA from 1 species